rnacentral:rRNA from 1 species
UACGAAGGGUGCAAGCGUUACUCGGAAUUACUGGGCGUAAAGCGUGCGUAGGUGGUGAGUUAAGUCUGUCGUGAAAGCCCCGGGCUCAACCUGGGAAUGGCGAUGGAUACUGGCUCGCUAGAGUGCGGUAGAGGAGAGUGGAAUUCCCGGUGUAGCAGUGAAAUGCGUAGAGAUCGGGAGGAACACCAGUGGCGAAGGCGAGUCCCUGGACAACACCUGACACUGAGGCACGAAAGCUAGGGGAGCAAACAGG